rnacentral:rRNA from 1 species
UACGUAGGGUGCGAGCGUUGUCCGGAAUUAUUGGGCGUAAAGGGCUCGUAGGCGGUUUGUCGCGUCGGGAGUGAAAACGCCGUGCCUAACACGGCGCUUGCUUUCGAUACGGGCAGACUAGAGGUAUGCAGGGGAGAACGGAAUUCCUGGUGUAGCGGUGAAAUGCGCAGAUAUCAGGAGGAACACCGGUGGCGAAGGCGGUUCUCUGGGCAUUACCUGACGCUGAGGAGCGAAAGUGUGGGGAGCGAACAGG